rnacentral:rRNA from 1 species
UACGUAGGGGGCAAGCGUUGUCCGGAUUUAUUGGGCGUAAAGAGCUCGUAGGCGGCUCGGUAAGUCAGGUGUCAAAUCCUCAGGCUCAACCUGGGGCUCCACCUGAUACUGCUGUGGCUAGAGUCCGGUAGGGGAGCGUGGAAUUCCUGGUGUAGCGGUGAAAUGCGCAGAUAUCAGGAGGAACACCAGCGGCGAAGGCGGCGCUCUGGGCCAACACUGACGCUCAUGCACGAAAGCGUGGGGAGCAAACAGG